AGAGAGCCGACCCAGCCGGCGCCCAAUCUGGGACGAGCACAGGGAGUGUGUUCCUGAGGAAGCAAAGAGGAUGAGGAACUACAAAAUGAGCGGGAUUAUCCAAGGUGGGGUUUUCCUGGCAGAAGGAACAGCAUAAGCAAGUGUCCUGAGGCUGAAGUGUGGCUCAAUGAAAUGUGCGACACACCUGUGAUCCCAGCACUCUGGAAGGCCGAGGCAGGAGGAUCCCUUGAGCCCAGGAGUUCAAGACCAGUAAGCUCCUGGAGGGCAGGACCCGGAGUUCCACACACCAUGGGGCCAAAUGCCUGAGACAGAAAUGGUCAGACUCAUCCCCUGGGCUGCCUGGAGCAUUUGCUGAUUUCUGUCAUGUAAGUACUCUCUCCGGGGUCCUCCUCAAGCUGCUGUCACGUUACUCGGGAGAGAGCUGGGAAGAGCCUCACAGCCCCCUCUGGAAAGCGGGGUGGUGCAAGCUCCAGCACACUCCACCCCGGCCUGGGCAGCACCUCACACGAGGUGUGGCACACAGUAAGUGCACAAUAAAUAGUCAUUCUCCAACUGUCCUGUCACAUUUGUGCCUGCGUCCUGGAAGCCAUUUGUAUUGUAAUUCAAACCACUGCUCAUUGAGCACUUGGUGUGGGCCUGUCACGGACCAAAGACUCAGUGCUAGGAGAACCUACCGUACAACCGCAUGAGUCAGCCGGGGAUGCCAGUGAAGCCCCAUGGCUGCUCGUGACCGUGCUCACACCACGGGGCAGCGGA